UGAGCUUCACUUCCUCGUGAUUAUAAUACAAUAUAACUACAAUGUCACGCCACCAUAAUCCAUGAUAACAAGCUUGAGGGAAUUGGAAAAUCGGUGUGGAUGACAUGAAAGGACGUAGUAAUGGCAUACUCCUUCAAGUCGCUAGUCUGUCUCUACCUUUUUCUGUCUGUCUUUGCUAAUCAACCUUCUCUUCUUCUCAUUCAAGCGCUAAAAGCAAGCUCUUUGCCAUUCUUUUAUCCUCUUCUUCGUGGUGGUCGCUUUCCGUUUUCCAUUUUCAGUGUGUUGUUAUUGAAGCUGGGUGAUAUGAGAUGUCAAUUCUCCCCCCAUAUAUGCAAAGCUCGUGGAUUCUCCCUGUUGUAGUAGUUUCUUGACUCUCCUAUCUUUGCAGCCAUUGUUCAAUGAUCAUUGGUGGGUGAGCUUGAGCGAAUUUAAUGCCUUUCCCAACUGGGUUAUGGCGAUGGGUUGGUUCUGGUUCGUGGUCACUGGAUUGGUGGUUGUUAUGAUGUUAUACAAAUGUGUUUGUUGAUAAGCAUGACAUGUGAAAGAGUGUGCACACCAAGUGUUUGGUUAAUGUCUGUUAGAAGCAUGGUUUCAUAGAACAGCAUUGCGCACUCCGUUUUAGAUUGUGUGGGAAGCUGAAUAACAUAAAUGAUACUGAGGGGGUCCCAGGCGAGGCGCAUCUGCAUGUGUGAUUAUGUCUUAUUCCACUCGAGGUUAUUUUUAAGGUUGCUAACGAAUCAAUAAUGGCGAAGGUGGUGGCUCAACGUUGUUGGCAAUGGGCAGGGUACAGUAGAUUGACAAAGCUGGUGGACAAUUGUCAAAAUUUAAGUCAAUCAAAUCCAUUUGGAGUGGCUUGGGGUUUGGUUUGGUUGGGCAUGGAUCGUGCUUGUUGUGUAUGUAUAAAAACAGGUAAAUGUAGUCAAAUGGAUCAUACUGAUCUAAAUUCAUGUAAGAUCCACCCAUUCGACACCUCUAGCAGAGCUUAGUUGAGCACUGACGUGUUUAAAGUCCACCUCAGAGAAGAUCGCCGAUGGAUAAAGGCUUUGCCUAAGUCCAUCCAAAUGAUGUGUGACCUGUUGAGGCCAAUCAGCAACCCGCCUUUAAUAUGGAAACUGAUGCCUGCACAGGUCCACGCAUGAAGAAAAACUUUUGGGGGUGAUCAAGUUAUCUUGUCUCUACAUAUCAGGAUGGACUUAAUCAGACUCAUCCCCACCCCCAUGGAGAGUUUGUGAAAGCAGCAGUGAAAGAAAUGAACAAUCCAUGGAACUAGGAGAGGUCUCUCUUUGAAGCCAAAGGUUUUCUUGUGUCUUCAAUGCUGGACUGGUAUAUACAACCUGUUGAAGUUUGGAAGAAUGGCCCUAUUCCAUGUUAGCCUCCUCUCUGAAUACAUAGAAAGGAGGAUAACGUCUUUCAGGCUGCAGCUGGAGAAUCACCUCCAACAGGCUCAAGAAAGGAAAGCUUCUUUAAGAGAGGUUCCUGAGCAGGUUAUCUCGACUGAGGUCGGGCGUAUGGUUGAAGAGAUGCAAGCUUUAAAUGAAAAGCUGGAAGAUACAGAGGCUGCCACUGAAGAUUAUUUCAAGCCUAUUGACAAGCAGGCUGAGACCAUCAUGAUAAUGCAGCUCGAGGGCGAGGAGAAGACAAUGUAGGAGGUGAUGAAAAACCACACAGAGACAAGCCUUGCUCAAGAAAGACGAGAAGGACAGAUUGGCAAAUGCGAAGAAUGUCGCCAAUUCCAACCUGCACAAGCAGAUUCCAACUAGAAAGGAGGAAAUGAAGGCAUAAUAAGCAGAUAAAAGCAAGAUCUGGAGUCCAAUUUCAGCGUAGCCCACGUUUGAACUUGCGGCGCAUAAAAUACUACAUGCAGAAUUUCACACUAUCGAAUGUCUUUUUCUCAAUCAUUCCACCUCCAUUCCAAAGACAAUUAAUUACAAGAGACCCUCCUUUUCAAAGCACAAGAAGACAGCUUCAUGAAUAGUGAAGCCGCAGACCAGUCUACGUGCCCAAGCACUCAUCGUUUGCCUUCAUCUGCUUGCAAGUAAAUACAAAUCUUCGCACAUUCUCGUGUGGCUCGGGCUUGGAUGUCAUUGACUCGACGCAGACGCGCACGCGAAAAAGGAAAUAUUCUAAGUUUGGUGAUCAGGCAUGGAGUCCUCCUCCUCCUCCUGUAAUUCAGAUCAGACCAACCCUCGGAGGUGGCCACAAGCAGCAUCACUUUCAGCAUCUCUCUGUCUUAUAUCCUUUCGCUUGUUCUUUUCCUGAACCCUUCUCAAAGCUUAUCAAGCUCUGAAUCAUAUAUAUGUUCCGUUGAUAGGCAAAGAAGCUGCAAGUGUUUCUCAUCCAAUCCACAGAUACGUAUCGCGGAGAAGUUUAGAUGGGGAAGAAAGUAAUGGUGAGUGAAGCAUCGUCCCGGAAGGUGUCCAAGAAUCAUGAGAAGAAGACACAGCCCCACCACCACCACCACCACCACCACCAUCAGCUCCAUAGCCUGAUCAAAGUCUUGAAGCCCAAGGUGUACAUCACGGACGCCUCCAGCUUCAAGAGGCUCGUCCAGGAGCUGACCGGCAAUGCUGCUUCAAACCCAUCGGUCCCCUCAUCGCCUAAUUUGAUCCUAAACAGCUGCCCGGAAACAGCCAGCGAAGGAUCAGUACAAAUCCUGGCACCGAUGGCACUUCCUGUUGAGUGUCAAGAUCAUAAUCAUGGAGGCUCUCGGAGCACAAGGGUGGAGGUUCAAGUGCCCGUUAUCGAAUCAUCUCAAAUUGCGGGCAACGUCGAUCAUCCGGUGGGUAUGGUAGGUCUCGAGGACUUGGAUUCUCAAAUUACAGGCAACGUUGAUCAUCCGGCGAGCAUGGUAGGUCUUGAGGAGUUGGAGGCUUGGCUCUUGGAGGAUGUGAAUCAUCUGGCAGUUCCCUUCUGUGAGAGUAGCUAUUUCUACCAUCACCCCCAGGAGGUCAGCAUCUACGACUAUGGGUUCUCAGGGAUGUGGUGAAAAUAGGGUUCUUCAUAUUCUCAUCAACAUGGUUCAUAUGCAUAUGAAAGACAUAGCCAUUCUGAUCACAUUCAUCAACUGUAGAGAGAUUCACGUUCUGUAAACCGAAUUCUUUUGCUUCCACUAGUGUUCGUAUAAUUCAUUUGUUGUAAAACGCCAAGACGUAUUUCUGGGA